rnacentral:rRNA from 1 species
AUUGAACGCUGGCGGCAGGCCUAACACAUGCAAGUCGAGCGAGCGGCGGACGGGUGAGUAAUGUAUGGGGAUCUGCCCGAUGGAGGGGGAUAACUACUGGAAACGGUGGCUAAUACCGCAUACUAUCGGAUGUACCCAGAUGGGAUUAGCUAGUAGGUGGGGUAAAGGCUCACCUAGGCGACGAUCUCUAGCUGGUCUGAGAGGAUGAUCAGCCACACUGGAACGGAGACACGGUCCAGACUCCUACGGGAGGAAGCAGUGGGGAAUAUUGCACAAUGGGCGCAAGCCUGAUGCAGCCAUGCCGCGUGUAUGAAGAAGGCCUUCGGGUUGUAAAGUACUUUCAGCGGGGAGGCGUUACCCGCAGAAGAAGCACCGGCUAACUCCGUGCCAGCAGCCGCGGUAAUAC